UACGUAGGGUGCGAGCGUUAAUCGGAAUUACUGGGCGUAAAGCGCACGCAGGCGGUCUGUCAAGUCGGAUGUGAAAUCCCCGGGCUCAACCUGGGAACUGCAUUCGAAACUGGCAGGCUUGAGUCUCGUAGAGGGGGGUAGAAUUCCAGGUGUAGCGGUGAAAUGCGUAGAGAUCUGGAGGAAUACCGGUGGCGAAGGCGGCCCCCUGGACGAAGACUGACGCUCAGGUGCGAAAGCGUGGGGAGCAAACAGG
rnacentral:rRNA from 1 species